GACGAACGCUGUCGGCGUGCCUAAUACAUGCUAGUAGCACGCAGUUGCGAACGGGUGAGUAACGCGUAGGUACCUGCCUCAUAGCGGGGGAUAACUAUUGGAAACGAUCGCUCAUCCCGCAUCCUGUCAGAUGGCCCUUCUUUGUAUUAGCGAGUUGGUGAGGUAAAGGCUCACAAAGGCGACGAUACAUAGCCGACCUGAGAGGGUGAUCGGCCACACUGGGACUGAGACACGGCCCAGACUACUACGGGAGGAAGCAGUAGGGAAUAGUCGGCAAUGGACGGAAGACUGACCGAGCAACGCAGCGUGAGUGAAGAAGGUUUUCGGAGCGUAAAGCUCUGUUGUUAGAGAAGAGGUAACUAACGAGAAAGGGAUGGCUAACUACGUGCCAGCAGCCGCGGUAAUUC
rnacentral:rRNA from 1 species